GGAGUUUGGACCGUGUCUCAGUUCCAAUGUGGCCGUUCAUCCUCUCAGACCGGCUACUGAUCGUCGCCUUGGUGGGCCCUUACCCCGCCAACAAGCUAAUCAGACGCGGGCCCAUCCUGUACCACCGGAGUUUUUCACACAGAAAGAUGUCUUCCCGUGCGCUUAUGCGGUAUUAGCAGUCAUUUCUGACUGUUAUCCCCCUGUACAGGGCAGGUUACCCACGCGUUACUCACCCGUCCGCCACUCAGUCAGUCCUCCGAAGAGGACUGCUUCGUUCGACUUGCAUGUGUUAGGCACGCCGCCAGCGUUCAUC
rnacentral:rRNA from 1 species